ACUGGGGGAAAGGCCACCGACGCAGCACGGGCUCUUCCUUGAGCCACGGGGGGAAAUGGAGCGAGCGGGACACUGCCGUAAGGAGGGGAGACCUGGACAGGAAUUAAACACACUGUAAACAUGCAGAUUCCAGGCCCCUGCUGCCGAUCCACUGAAUCCAAAUCUCUGGGAUGGGACCAAGGAAUCUGCACCUUUGCACGGCCUGCUAGCCUAGUGUGAUCUGGGAUCUGGCAGAGUGGCAGAGAGGGAAAGGCCUCUAGGAAGAAGCAGUGACCCCUGGGGACACGGCGGCAGCUGGCAUCGUGGAAUCUUGAGAAAUGGGUCUCUUCCAAUAAUGAUAUCAAAGUCCUUCCCGUUGGUUAUCUUAUCGAACAGGCCUGAAUGGUGACGUCCGAUAAACCUGAUUUAAAAUUCUGGAGAAGACGCCUAUCUCCCACAGACAUAAGAAAUACAGGUUUUGAAACA